GACAGAACUUAGUUGGGGAGUUGACCUUCCAACGGAAAACUAGAUUUUUUAUGCUCAAGAAAUUGAUUAGUAUCUUUCAGUCGUAUCAAUUGAUCCUUACGUCAUCCAUUGCAGGACAAAAUUUCCACCUCCUCUUGAAACAACUGGCUGUAUAUCCUGCUCUCUUUCCUUGAAGCUUUUGCCUACUUAAAUCCCAUGACAACUGACAAGGGCAGAUGAGGGACAUGCCUUCUCUAGGCUCUUUCCAUGGGACAUAUCUUUGAUGGUGUUGUAAGUAAAUGUAACCUGAAGCAAAGUUUUGGUUUGUUCUGGUUUUUGACAUGUUUUCUUAAUGACCUGGUGUAGGGCUCCCAGCAACCACCUUUAUUGUUUAUUCUUUGCUUAGUUUCUACCACCAUUGAAUAACAAGAGGACCAGGCUUAAAGCGAAUAAUUUAAUUUUCCAACAAAACACCAUAAUAUGAUACUUUCUAUUGCACCUUUACUUCUGUACUAUUAUAUCAUGCAUCUUCUACUAUAGGUGAUCGAGUACAAUUUUAAGAUGUUAAAUAACAAAACCAUGGUGAGUCUCAGAACCAUUUUACCUUUUUUGUUUGGCCAAAGAACCUUUGUAGCCUAAGUAUAGAGGAGAAUGUAAAUUGAACAGGUGAAACCUUGACUGGCACAUUUGCAUGCUAUGUUAUGUCAUCGUUUCCGGCCAGAGACAGUCUUCUUCACAGCUCCCACCGAGACCAAAAACUUAUCAAGCGAUGAUAAAGUCUUCAUGUCAUCGGGAGGGAAGUAGCUGGCGGCCUUUCCCAUAAGUGAAGUGAAGAGAAGAGAGACUGAAGGCCGAGUGACAUAGCGUUCAUCCAAAAGGUCAUCCAGAAAUGCAAAUGCAGCUAACAAAUCAGACCUGCUUGCAUUGAUUGGUGCAGCAAAAUGAGCUGGGAUUAUUCUCUUGAACCUCCACUCCCGUGCAAUUCCAUCAACCCAAUCCCUGACCUGAAUUAUUAAAAUGCGAAGUCAUUUUUGUGGGACACAAAUAGCCAUAAUACUGAAUUUCAUGUACUUACUAUAGUUUCUUGUCAUGUUUGUUUGGUGAAUGCAUAUCACCCAUAGUAUACAAGCGCAGAGUGUUGGUUUGA